rnacentral:rRNA from 1 species
AAAUUGAAGAGUUUGAUCAUGGCUCAGAUUGAACGCUGGCGGCAGGCCUAACACAUGCAAGUCGAACGGUAACAGAAAGCAGCUUGCUGCUUUGCUGACGAGUGGCGGACGGGUGAGUAAUGUCUGGGAAACUGCCUGAUGGAGAGGGAUAACUACUGGAAACGGUAGCUAAUACCGCAUAACGUCGCAAGACCAAAGAGGGGGACCUUCGGGCCUCUUGCCAUCGGAUGUGCCCAGAUGGGAUUAGCUAGUAGGUGGGGUAACGGCUCACCUAGGCGACGAUCCCUAGCUGGUCUGAGAGGAUGACCAGCCACACUGGAA